rnacentral:rRNA from 1 species
GUGCUAGCAGCCGCGGUAAUACCGGCAGCCCGAGUGAUGGCCGAUCUUAUUGGGCCUAAAGCGUCCGUAGCCGGCCUCGCAAGUCCGUCGGGAAAUCCAGUAGCUCAACUACUGGGCGUCCGGCGGAAACUACAAGGCUUGGGACCGGAAGGCUCGAGGGGUACGUCCGGGGUAGGAGUGAAAUCCUGUAAUCCCGCACGGACCACCGAUGGCGAAAGCACCUCGAGAAAACGGAUCCGACAGUGAGGGACGAAAGCCAGGGUCUCCAACCGGAUUAGAUACCCGUGUAGUCC